rnacentral:tRNA from 1 species
GCCUUCGUAGCUCAGGAGGUAGAGCGCAUCCUUGGUAAGGAUGAGGUCACCGGUUCAAAUCCGGUCGAAGGCU